UCUUCGUAGGAGACACAAACCACUAAGCAACAGGGGCUGCAAUGGAGACCCCAACUACCGCCCCCGCCCGCACGAGCAGAGGGAGCCAGAUCCCGGGGGGACCCGUUCUCUCCCCAGCAGCUGGGCGAGGAGCCUCCCUCCCCCCGCUCAGUACUGACCCUCGGCCCGGAAACCAGCGGGGGAAGCCCUGGCCCGGGAGCGGAGCAGCUGGUAGCCUCUGAGCCUUGGGGGCGACUCACACUGUACCCUUGGCCAAACCGAGCGCGGCCAGUCCCGGCCCGGCCGCUGCCAGACGCGCGGGCGGCAGCACCCAGGAAAAGUUGCUCCCAUGCAAUGGCCCAGCCCGGGCCGGGGAACGAGGGGGCGCGCGGCGGGCUAAGCCGAAUGCUAGCCUCCACUGUUCCUCUGGUGUAUAGGAAGCGCAGUCUGCAUCUGGAGAUAUGCAUGGGGAUUUUACUUUGCAAAUGGAAGAGCAUGCUGGCAGCAUAAAGGAUGAAAGUCUUUGAAGAGCUCUUUUGAAAAUGGAAAUCAGCCCAUUAACUCCUUCAGGCUACAAUCUUAUUCAUCAUUAUUUCCAAGUUUUUCUUUUUUUUUUUUCACCCAUUCACCAAGAUAAAUUCCAAUUUAAAAAAAUAGUCUCAGUAAGCUGGAUACGUAUAUAGAGAUAUGUAAUGCAUCUCUACAGUAGUUGAUACUUAAACAUUUUAUACAUCAACAAAAUACAAAAAUGCUACAGAACAAAUAUAUUAAAACCCAAAUUGCUGGUCUUAGUUCAGUCCCUGGUGAACAGAGGACUAAAGAAAAACAGUUAUUAAUAUUGGCAUCCUUAUCAUUGAAUGGCAUAGACAUUGCUUUAUUUCCUCAGUGCUGUAAGUGAUCUCUGCAGAUCAUGGGUGAGAUAAAGUCUUGGGGGAAGUGUGAGAGAAGUUUGCCUUUUUGUUGCCUAUGCAGUAAUUUUUUUGUGGACAGACUAUUUCCAUCUUCAGGUCUGCCAAACCAACACUAAAUUCACUUAAAAAUGAAUAAAUAAAUUGUAUCCACGUUAUAAGAAUAUGUUAUAGCCUACCAGUAUGUUGUCUGAAGGUGUAUCACAUUUUAAAUACAUCUGAUAAUGGAUUCCAAUAAUGUGUAGCAUCAAAACAGUAAAUACUUGUUUCACA